rnacentral:tRNA from 1 species
GGCUUCGUAGCUCAGCUGGUAGAGCAUGCGCGUACAAAGCGUAGGCGGUGUCCAUGCGUGGGUUCGAAUCCCACCGAGGUUA